GUGCAAAGGAAUGAGCUUCAAGUAUAGAUCUGGAACGCUUCUCUCUAAGACUGUCGCAAGCUUUCCAGGUCUCAAAAUUUCUGGAAUCAUAUUUGUAGAGAAGGAAGAAGAAGAAGUGAGUUUCAGUCUUUUGCUCAAGUUCCGAUCAGAUCCAUUAACAUAAUAUCAUGGAUCCAUCUUCCAUAAUAUGGGAUGUGACCAAGUGCUUGUGUGGCUGCCUCAAGAACCAAGCUUGUUAUGUUUAUGACUUGGAAGAGAAUCUGCAAUCUCUGGAGGAAACAUCGGAGAAGCUUGAAAACAUGAAGAAAGAUGUGGAAGAACUUGUUGAAGAAGAAGAACAUACCGGAGAGAUGCGAAGGUCUCAUCAAGUCACUGCUUGGCUGCAGAAAAUCGACGGCAUUCAAGAGGAAAUAAAAGAUAUUCGAGCUCGUGGAGCUCAACAAAUUCAAAACAAAUGCCUAAGUAAAUGUCCAAAGAAUUGCAUGUCAAGCUACAAGUUAGGAAAGAAUGUUGCAAAGAUUUUGCAAAAUGCACAUGAACUAGAAGACCAGGGGGAAAGGUUGUUUGGCAAGGAUUUUAAAAUUGUCCACAAGUGUCCAAUGAAGUCAAUUGAGUUUUCUUCGGAAGAGACAGUGGGCUUAGAUUUCAUGUUUGAUAAGGUAUGGAAUAGUAUUGAAGACAAAAAUGUUGGGGUAAUUGGCUUGUAUGGGAUGGGCGGGGUGGGUAAGACUACCUUGUUAAAGAAAAUUAAUAAUGAACUUGGAAAGAGAUCAGAUUUUUAUGUUAUGUGGGUAGUAGUAUCUAAAAGGCCUAACUUGGACAGCAUUAUGGACAACAUCAGAAAAUUGGUAGGGAUUGAAGAUAGAACUUGGCAACGUUUUAGUAACCAAGAUGAAAAAGCCGCAAGGAUUUGCAAAAUCCUAAAAGAGAAGAAAUUUGUUUUGUUAUUGGAUGAUAUAUGGGAGAGAUUGGCCUUGGAAAGGGUGGGAGUUCCACAUCCAAAGGAAACUAAUUUUCAAUCCAAAGUGUUAUUCACAACACGAUAUGAGGAUGUGUGUGCGAAAAUGAAAGCACAAAGAAAAUUCAAAGUAGAAAUUCUCACAGAAAAAGAAGCACUAGAGUUAUUUUAUAUGAAAGUUGGGGAGGAAACUCUAAAGUUUGACCCUAUUAUUCCAAAGGUAGCAAUGGAGAUGGCUAGAGAAUGCAAAGGGCUACCACUUGCACUAACUGUGGUGGGAAGCGCCAUGGCUGGUGUGAAGAGCAUUGAAGCAUGGGAACACUGAAAGAAUAAUUUAAUGAGUUCUUCAUUUACAGCAUCAGGUUUGGAGAUAGAGGUCUUCUCUAUCCUCAAGUUUAGCUAUGAUAAAUUACCAGAUGAAACACACCAAAAUUGUUUCUUAUAUUGUGCAUUAUACCCAGAGGAUCAUGAGAUUGAAGUGAAUGAUGUCAUUGAGAAAUGGAUAGGGGAGGGAUUACUUUGUAAUGAUAGGAUGAGAACUGUACGUGAUAUGCGUAGCCAUGGUGGAUCUAUAAUUGAAAAGUUGAAGCUUUCAUGCUUGUUGGAGAAUGUAGAAGAUGAUGUCUUUUUGAGGCGUGCAAUUAAGAUGCAUGAUGUCAUCCGUGACAUGGCACUAUGGAUAGCAAAUGAACAAGAUAAAAACAAAAGGUUUAUAGUACAAGAAGAUGCAUGGUCAAUGUCUCAAGCUAAGAUUGAAAAUUUGAAAAUGGUUCAAAGGAUUUCAAUCAUGAAAGAUGAUGGAUCAGGCAUACCAAUCUUAGAGUUGCCGAAUCUUACUACAUUAUUAUUGGAUAUUAGGACUAGCGAAGUAACUGGGUUACAAAAUAUCCAAUUCUUGAGCCGAUUAAAAGUCUUGGAGCUACAUCAGCUGUCAACUAUUACACUCCCAGAUUUAGGUGGUUUAAUUUUUUCCUUGGAAUAUCUGUCAUUGCAAGAAGUAUAUUUAUGCAACCCACCUGAAUUUUCAUGUAAGUCGAACAAUUUGAAAAAUCUGAAGGUUUUAAUUUUGAAAAUAAGUACUGGUAUUACUGAGUUGGGAGUAAUUUCAAAUCUUCCACAGCUAAAAGUCCUUAAACUUCACAGCAGAGAAUUUUUUCGAAAUGGCAAAGAUGAGGAAGAAUUUCUAGAGGAGCUAGAGUGUUCAUCAAGCUUGGAGGAACUAUGGAUACAAAUAUUAACUAAGAAUGGCCUCGAAAAAUUACAUGAGUCAGCCAAGUUGCAAAGUUGUAUAUGCGGCAUUGACCUUACCAACAUGUUCACCCUUGACAUGCCAUUAUUAUUGGCAACCAUGUCAAAAAUAAAGCACUUGCAAUAUCUUUGCUUCUCCCAGUGUUUUAUUGUGAUAGAUUCUUCUGUUAUUGACACAUGUUGUCUAUCCAUGCUUCGAAGGUUGACUAUUGUUCGUUGUGAUUCAAUACAUCAUUUGACAUGGUUGAAGCAUGCUCCACUCCUUGAUGAACUUCAUGUUGUCAAUUGCGACUCAAUGGAAGAAGUGAUAAAGGGAGAAGGAUUAGAGAAAGACAAAGAGAAUGUGGAUUCUAUAUUCCCUUCUCUUGUACAGCUGACUUUGUGGGAUUUGCCAAAUCUUAGGAGCAUUCAUGAGAGAGUCCUAUCUUUCUCUUCCCUAAGAUCUAUUGAAGUGUAUGACUGUCCAAAUCUAAAGAGGUUACCAUUUGAUUCCAAUUCUGCCAAGGCUAAGUUGAGGCUUAUUGGUGGAGAACAAGUGUGGUGGGACAACUUGGAAUGGGAUGACCCAGCUAUCAAAGCCACUUUCCAGUCAAAAUUUAGGAUUACUUCCUCAAGAGGAUUGACUUCUCCAUGGUAGACAAUUGGGAUGAACUUGGUUUUCAUAACUAUGCUUGUGUUUGUGACUACGUAAUUUUCAUUAGCCUGCAGGUGAUCAUGAAGAUAUGAAUAUUCUAGAGCCCCAACUUUGAUUUUAUUGGAAAUUAUUGGAGUGACCAGUCAGAUUUUACUAGUUAUGGUUUUCCUAAUUUGGUUUGUUGAAGACUCGAUAUUUGAACAUUUUAAUUUGUUUGAAUUGUAUUCAUUACAUGGUGUGAUUGAAAGUUUGCAGUGGAUGAUUUGCUUUUCUGUGUUAGGAUCGUGAUGUAUGAAUAUUCCCUUUUUUUUUUUUUUUGCUUUGGCUUGGAUGAAUAUUGUACAAGACAAUAUUAACUUGCUAUUUAUGAUUAUGUAUGAACUGUUUUUAAUUAUUAUUUUUAAUUUAAAUGUUAUUGGUUUUA